rnacentral:rRNA from 1 species
GAUGUGAAAGCCCACGGCUCAACCGUGGAGGGUCAUUGGAAACUGGGGGACUUGAGUGCAGAAGAGAAGGGAAUUCCACGUGUAGCGGUGAAAUGCGUAGAGAUGUGGAGGAACACCAGUGGCGAAGGCGCUUCUGGUCUGUAACUGACGCUGAGGCGCGAAAGCGUGGGGAGCAACAGGAUUAGAUACCCUGGUAGUCCACGCCGUAAACGAUGAGUGCUAAGUGUUAGAGGGUUUCCGCCCUUUAGUGCUGCAGCAACGCAUUAAGCACUCCGCCUGGGGAGUACGGCGCAAGCUGAAACUCAAAGGAAUUGACGGGGGCCCGCACAAGCGGUGGAGCAUGUGGUUUAAUUCGAAGCAACGCGAAGAACCUUACCAGGUCUUGACAUCCUCUGACACUAGAGAUAGCGUUCCCCUUCGGGGGACAGAGUGACAGGUGGUGCAUGGUUGUCGUCAGCUCGUGUCGUGAGAUGUUGGGUUAAGUCCCGCAACGAGCGCAACCCUUGAUCUUAGUUGCCAGCAUUAGUUGGGCACUCUAAGGUGACUGCCGGUGACAAACCGGAGGAAGGUGGGGAUGACGUCAAAUCAUCAUGCCCCUUAUGACCUGGGCUACACACGUGCUACAAUGGAUGGUACAAAGGGCUGCAAGACCGCGAGGUAGCCAAUCCCAUAAAACCAUUCUCAGUUCGGAUUGAGGCUGCAACUCGCCUCAUGAAGCGGAAUCGCUAGUAAUCGCGGAUCAGCAUGCCGCGGUGAAUACGUUCCCG